GGUUGAUCCUGCCAGUAAUAUAUGCUUGUCUCAAAGAUUAAUCCAUGCAUGUCUAAGUAUAAAUAGUAUACCUUAAAACUGCAAAUGGCUCAUUAAAACAGUUAUAGCUUAUAUGAUAAUGAAAGAUUACAUGGAUAACCGUGGUAAUUCUAGAGCUAAUACAUGCUGAUAGCCCGGCGCAAGUCGCGGUUGUAUUUAUUAGAUAUAAAUCAAUAUGUUAACAGCAUUUUGAAGGAAUGACAGUAACUGAUCGAAUCCCCACUUGUUGAGGAUAAAUCAUUCAAGUUUCUGCCCUAUCAGCUUUCGAUGGUAGUGUAUUGGACUACCAUGGCGGUAACGGGUAACGGAGAAUUAGUGUUCGAUUCCGGAGAGGGAGCCUGAGAAACGGCUACCACAUCUAAGGAAGGCAGCAGGAGCGUAAAUUACCCAAUGUCGACUCGAUGAGCGUAGUGACAAUACAUAACAAAGAGGGGAUUUUUUAUCUUACUCUAUUGCAAUGAGGCAUGUUUAAUAACCUGUUCGAGCAACCAGUGAAGGGCAAGUCUGGUGCCAGCAGCCGCGGUAAUUCCAGCUUCACGAGUGUAUAUUUAAGUUGUUGCAGUUAAAAAGCUCGUAGUUGAAGUUCUGCUGAUUUUGCCAGCACUUUUCGUGAUGGUAGGAUGAGCAUCCGCCUGAAAAACUAUUCGGAUCUUCACUGAUUCAAUAGUGGAUCAGGCAUUUUACUUUGAAAAAAUUAGAGUGUUCAAAGCAGGCAGCAGCCUGAAUACAUUAGCAUGGAAUAAUGGAAUAGGACGCUGUCCAUUUUGUUGGUUAUUGGAUUGCGUAAUGAUUAAUAGGGACAGUCGGGGGCAUUUGUAUUUAAUUGUCAGAGGUGAAAUUCUUGGAUUUAUUAAAGACAAACUUAUGCGAAAGCAUUUGCCAAGGAUGUUUUCAUUAAUCAAGAACGAAAGUUAGAGGAUCAAAGACGAUCAGAUACCGUCCUAGUUUUAACUAUAAACUAUGCCGACUCGGUCUUCGUCAAGUCUUUAUAACUUGAUGGGUGCCGUAUGAGAAAUCAAAGUCUUUGGGUUCCGGGGGGAGUAUGGUCGCAAGUUUGAAACUUAAAGGAAUAGACGGAACAUCACUACCAGGUGUGGAUCCUGCGGCUUAAUUUGACCCAACACGGGGAAACUUACCAGCGCAAAACAAGGGUGGGAUUGACAGAUUGAGAGCUCUUUCUUGAUUCUUUGGAUAGUGGUGCAUGGCCGUUCUUAGUUGGUGGAGUGAUUUGUCUGCUUAAUUGCAC
rnacentral:rRNA from 1 species